AUUGAACGCUGGCGGCAUGCUUUACACAUGCAAGUCGAACGGUAACAGGUUAAGCUGACGAGUGGCGAACGGGUGAGUAAUGCAUCGGAACGUGCCCGACCGUGGGGGAUAACGCAGCGAAAGCUUCGCUAAUACCGCAUACGAUCUGAGGAUGAAAGCGGGGGACCGUAAGGCCUCGGGCCAUCGGAGCGGCCGAGGUCAGAUUAGGUAGUUGGUGGGGUAAAGGCUCACCAAGCCAACGAUCUGUAGCUGGUCCGAAAGGACGACAAGCCACACUGGGACUGAGACACGGCCCAGACACCUACGGGAGGCAGCAGUGGGGAAUUUUGGACAAUGGGCGAAAGCCUGAUCCAGCAAUGCCGCGUGCAGGAAGAAGGCCUUCGGGUUGUAAACUGCUUUUGUACGGAGCGAAAAGGCUCUCUCUAAUACAGGGGGCUCAUGACGGUACCGUAAGAAUAAGCACCGGCUAACUACGUGCCAGCCGCCGCGGUAA
rnacentral:rRNA from 1 species